rnacentral:snRNA from 1 species
GUGCUUGCUUUGGCAGCACAUAUACCAGAAUUGGAGCGAUACAGAGAUUAGCAUAGCCCCUGUGCAAGGAUGACAUGUGAGUUCGUGUAGUGUUCCAAAUUAAA